rnacentral:rRNA from 1 species
UACGAAGGGGGCUAGCGUUGUUCGGAAUUACUGGGCGUAAAGCGCGCGCAGGCGGCUAUCCAAGUCAGUGGUGAAAGCCCGGAGCUCAACUCCGGAACUGCCAUUGAAACUGUUUAGCUUGAGGACGAGAGAGGUGAGUGGAAUUCCCAGUGUAGAGGUGAAAUUCGUAGAUAUUGGGAAGAACACCGGUGGCGAAGGCGGCUCACUGGUCCGGUACUGACGCUGAGGUGCGAAAGCGUGGGGAGCGAACAGG